AUUCUUUUGUAGUUCGUAAGCGUGACGAUGGGUGUUCACACCACUGUGUGGCAUGUGCCAUCGUAAACCUUGUCACGAUGUCAGCACAUUCCCCGUGUGGUG
ensembl:snoRNA